AUUGAACGCUGGCGGCAGGCCUAACACAUGCAAGUCGAGCGGAUGAAGGUAGCUUGCUCCUGGAUUCAGCGGCGUACGGGUGAGUAAUGCCUAGGAAUCUGCCUGGUAGUGGGGGAUAACGUCCGGAAACGGGCGCUAAUACCGCAUACGUCCUGAGGUAGAAAGUGGGGGAUCUUCGGACCUCACUCUAUCAGAUGAGCCUAGGUCGGAUUAGCUAGUUGGUGGGGUAAAGGCCUACCAAGGCGACGAUCCGUAACUGGUCUGAGAGGAUGAUCAGUCACACUGGAACUGAGACACGGUCCAGACUCCUACGGGAGGCAGCAGUGGGGAAUAUUGGACAAUGGGCGAAAGCCUGAUCCAGCCAUGCCGCGUGUGUGAAGAAGGUCUUCGGAUUGUAAAGCACAUUAAGUUGGGAGGAAGGGCAGUAAGUUAAUACCUUGCUGUUUUGACGUUACCAACAGAAUAAGCACCGGCUAACUUCGUG
rnacentral:rRNA from 1 species